rnacentral:lncRNA from 1 species
AGGAGAUCCACACUCCCACCAUGCCCAGCUGGCCCACCAGAGUGAGCCACAGGCAACACGUGUUCUCAACCAACCCUGUUUACCCUGGACCUACUAUUUUUGCACUCACCUCCCUGGUUCUCAGAUUCCUGGCUCCGGUUCCCAGCUGCCAUAGCUCCUUUGGCCCCUUCACUUUGGUGACCCUUUAGGCUUCCCUUUUUAGACCACAGCUGUCACAUGUUUCUGACUCAACUUGCUUCUGCCAUGCCAGCGUCACCCCUGGUCUCAGUUCUCUUCACCUGUAAAGACACUUGGAUUUCAGCUCUUUGUGGAAGAGGGAUCUAAAGGAUCCAUAUGCUUCAGUCCUCUGGAAUCUAGGAAAUAAGGAAGUUUGGGACCCAGAGAAAGAAGAAAUUCAAAGGCUGUAGCCAGUGGAAUCCUUUAGCCACACCUGGGACCCAUAAGGAUAAUGUAGAGACUGUGGUCAUAAGACACAAACAGACUAGAGUGUGUGACCUUGAGCAAGUCACAUCUUCAUGAAUUUGAGCACUAUUAGUAUUACAGUUAUUAUUGAUUCCAAGACACUAAUAA